rnacentral:rRNA from 1 species
GAGCGAAGCGGGAAGAGCUCAAAUUUAUAAUCUGGCACCUUCGGUGUCCGAGUUGUAAUCUCUAGAAAUGUUUUCCGCGUUGGACCGCACACAAGUCUGUUGGAAUACAGCGGCAUAGUGGUGAGACCCCCGUAUAUGGUGCGGACGCCCAGCGCUUUGUGAUACAUUUUCGAAGAGUCGAGUUGUUUGGGAAUGCAGCUCAAAUUGGGUGGUAAAUUCCAUCUAAAGCUAAAUAUUGGCGAGAGACCGAUAGCGAACAAGUACCGUGAGGGAAAGAUGAAAAGCACUUUGGAAAGAGAGUUAACAGUACGUGAAAUUGUUGGAAGGGAAACGCUUGAAGUCAGACUUGCUUGCCGAGCAAUCGGUUUGCAGGCCAGCAUCAGUUUUCCGGGAUGGAUAAUGGUAGAGAGAAGGUAGCAGUUUCGGCUGUGUUAUAGCUCUCUGCUGGAUACAUCUUGGGGGACUGAGGAACGCAGUGUGCCUUUGGCGGGGGUUUCGACCUCUUCACACUUAGGAUGCUGGUGGAAUGGCUUUAAACGACCCGUCUUGAAACACGGACCA